GACGAUUGGUAUUUUAAGUUUGUUUUUUUUUUAUCCGGUAUUUUAACUUUUGUUGGCAUUGGUUUUUGGUGGUUUUGGGAUUCACUAUUUGACUUAUGAGCUUAUUAUUGUCCCUUUGCUGGUUUCUUCUUCUUAUUUGCUGUUUAGUUCUCUUGACUCGCUACUCCCUAGUGUAUGGUUCUAUUGAGUCUUAAACUAUAUACACAUGCUUCAUUUGAUUGGAGAAGGAAAAAGUGCUAUAGACUAAGGCCUCCUCCUUUAAUAACUUUGUCAACUGAAAAUUUGGUAAACAAUUUAGCUUAUGUUCUUGUCAAAUGGACUUGUCAAUUGGAUGCUUGUUAUGCUAAAUGGAAGGUGUUUUUAAUUUUGAUUUCAGUAAUAUAAGUUGUCUUAAAUCUUGGUUUUUUAGUUUCGUACUCAAAUUAGGGUACAAUAAUAUAGUAAGUUUUUGUGGCUUUCCUUGUUUUGGAUAGUAAGUUUCUUUUCGAUUGACACAUACAGAUUAAAAUGGGAAAAUAAUGUGCAUUAUGACUUGCUUUGGAAAUAAGUUUAAUGCCUCCAGCCUACCUCCAACAAUAUAACUCUACUGAUGUUUCUGCAUACAUAUACACUAUACAUAUGCGUAUGUUUAAGGAAUAAUAUGA